rnacentral:lncRNA from 13 species
CAAAAAAAGAAAUCACAAGGUUAAAAGGCAAAUAGUCCAGAAAACAUAUUUUUAAUAUACAUGAUAUUCAAGGAGUUGGUGUCCUUACAACUUAAAGAUACAUUAAAUUCUACAAGAAAUAUAUAUAUGGAAAAUCCAGUAAAAAUUUGAAUAAAGGACAUGAACAAAAUACUCAUAAAUGAAGAAACAUAGUCAAUAACCACAUACAAAUGUUCAAGAUCACAAGUACAAAGAAAUAAAAGCUAAACAUAAUUGUCUCUCCUACUUCUUUUUUUAUUAGAUAUUUUUAAAAAUCAUGACCAGAAUUGUCAAAAAUGUGGAGCAAUAUACAGGCAUCCUCAUAUAUGGCACCAGCAAUGACCGUGAGCUCCUGAAUUGGCAAGUUCAGUUCCAAGGCCUGGGAAAAGCCAGGGACAAUCAUAUGAGACAAAAAGAAACACGUGGCCAAGCAUCCCAGCACAACAAUCAGGCCUUAAUGAUCAGAUUCCUCUCAGAAUCUCCAGGCCUGUGUUACCAACUCCUUCUGGACUAAGAGGGCCAGUGGAAUGCAUUGCACCUAGUAUUGGGAGAAAGGGCCAAGCUCAUGACUGUUGUCAUCUCCAGAUGAUGCUAGCUUUGGCUGCAAGGAGGACAGAUAACAAAGAUCAUAGCUAUACCUUAUGCUUUGGGUGCCAUCUCUUCUGUUUAACCAGGAACAGUCUGGGUUUAUGUCCCUUGAACCUGUGUAAUUAUUAAUAUUGUUCCCUUUGACUCUCAAAAGUGUCUUAUUUUGGAUGAUAAAUUAUAUGAUUGUCUCAUAGCCCUUUUACAACUCUGGACCAUUUAUCAUUGCUUUAUAACAUGCAAAUGUUAUAAAAGCUAUCUACAGACUCGAUCUAGACUGACAUGGUGUCAGCUGCACAGGUGAAACUGACCAUUAGAAACAAUUAGAUGAUAUGCUAAAGAUUGUUAUUCUCUGAACAUUUCUGUGGCAUUUAACAUUCUUUGGCAUUUCAGUGACCUUUUAUGAGGCAUAACACAAAUGGAAAGAUUCAUUUAUGUCAUGAUCAUUACAUUGUAUCUGAGAGAAAAUGAGAGACCCAAAGCAGGUGUCCUGGGCCAAGUUGAAUAUUGCAUUUCAGAACCCAUUGACUGGAUGCUAAUUUCGGUCAUUUGCAUGGGGGCCCCCAUACUAUCAUCCCUAUCACAGUAUCCAUGUCAGCUCAACUUUCGGAGCAGCUGAAACACUGACCCGCCACCGAUUACAGUGGUGUAAUGAAGUGCAGUGGGCCAGUAAUUAUUCUACAUUAUACCGAUCAAGUAACAUACGGCCCAUAGUGAUCACAAUGAGAUCCCAGUGCUUGGUCAGGAUGGGGGGAAAAGGCCAUAAAUGUUAUUUAAAGGGUGUCAUCAAAAAUGAGUUUGCAAGGCUAGAAAUGUAAGAGGCUCCAGUCCCAAGAUGUUAUCUUAGGCUCCUGUCUCAUAAUUGCCUCACAGUUGGUAUACAGAGGUCUCCUCUCAUAAAUUUGUCUUGAGUAACUUAAUGAAAAGUUUUAUUAGAAAUCUACCUGUAAAUUGAGAAGGAUCUUUUGGUAGAGAAGAGAUCUGGGGGCAGGAUGGAGGGAGAACAGAAAAGCCAAUAAUGAAAUUUCAAGCAACUCAACAUUCAAAACAUUCUGAUUCAAUUGCUUCAGGAAACAUAAUAAGUGACCUGAUUGGUGCCCCCAGAACUGAGGGUGCUGGUGGGAUGGACCCCUAGAAUUCCCGGAGAGUGACUUUCAUAUAGAACACAGCUUAGGUUAAAACUUGAUUUUAAAUGGGUGUGAAAACCUGCAAAGAAUAAAGCAACUCCUGUAAUUUACUAAACA